AAACAGACAGGCACACAUACAGACACACACAGACAGGCACACACACAGACACACACACACAAGACACAUACAUACAGACAGGCACACAUACAUACAGACACACGCACACAUACAUACAGACACACACAUCCAUACAAACAGACAGGUACACAUACAUACAGACACACACAUACAUACAUACAUACAAACAGACAGGUACACAUACACACAUACAGACAGACACAAGACACAUACAUACAAAGACAAGACACACAUACAUACACACACACACAUAUAUACAGACACACACACACACACACACACACAAGACAUACAUACAUAGACACACACAAGACAUACAUACAAAGACACAUACACACAAACAAACACACACAAAAUAUUUUUGUGACUUUCCCUGGGGUCCAGUGGUGGCUCAGGUGCAUGGGAGUCAGAG